rnacentral:rRNA from 1 species
AUUGCUAUCGGAAUCCGAUUUAGCCAUGCGAGUCGCACGUCUUAGAAUCGUGGCGAACUGCUCAGUAACACGUGGCCAAUCUACCCUAUGGACUCGGAUAAUCUCGGGAAACUGAGGCUAAUCCGUGAUAGCGCUCCCAUGCUUGAAUGCAGGGAGCGUGAAACGCUCCGGCGCCAUAGGAUGAGGCUGCGGCCGAUUAGGUAGACGGUGGGGUAACGGCCCACCGUGCCGAUAAUCGGUACGGGUCAUGAGAGUGAGAGCCCGGAGACGGACUCUGAGACAAGAGUCCGGGCCCUACGGGGCGCAGCAGGCGCGAAACCUUUACACUGCACGACAGUGCGAUAGGGGGAUUCCGAGUGCGAGGGCAUACAGUCCUCGCUUUUGUGUACCGUAAGGUGGUACACGAAUAAGGGCUGGGCAAGACCGGUGCCAGCCGCCGCGGUAAUACCGGCAGCUCAAGUGAUGGCCGAUAUUAUUGGGCCUAAAGCGUCCGUAGCUGGCUGGGCAGGUCCGUCGGGAAAUCCACUCGCCUAACGAGUGGGCGUCCGGCGGAAACCGCUUAGCUUGGGACCGAGAGACCAGAGGGGCACGUCCGGGGUAGGAGUGAAAUCCUGUAAUCCUGGACGGACCACCGGUGGCGAAAGCGCCUCUGGAGAGCGGAUCCGACAGUGAGGGACGAAAGCUAGGGUCUCGAACCGGAUUAGAUACCCGGGUAGUCCUAGCUGUAAACGAUGCUCGCUAGGUGUGGCGCAGGCUACGAGCCUGCGCUGUGCCGUAGGGAAGCCGUGAAGCGAGCCGCCUGGGAAGUACGUCCGCAAGGAUGAAACUUAAAGGAAUUGGCGGGGGAGCACUACAACCGGAGGAG